rnacentral:rRNA from 1 species
GAUGAACGCUGGCGGCGUGCCUAAUACAUGCAAGUCGAGCGAACAGACGAGGAGCUUGCUCCUCUGACGUUAGCGGCGGACGGGUGAGUAACACGUGGAUAACCUACCUAUAAGACUGGGAUAACAUCGGGAAACCGGAGCUAAUACCGGAUAAUAUAUUGAACCGCAUGGUUCAAUAGUGAAAGACGGUUUUGCUGUCACUUAUAGAUGGAUCCGCGCCGCAUUAGCUAGUUGGUAAGGUAACGGCUUACCAAGGCAACGAUGCGUAGCCGACCUGAGAGGGUGAUCGGCCACACUGGAACUGAGACACGGUCCAGACUCCGACGGGAGGCAGCAGUAGGGAAUCUUACACAAUGAGCGAAAGCCUGACGGAGCAACGCCGCGUGAGUGAUGAAGGUCUUCGGAUCGUAAAACUCUGUUAUUAGGGAAGAACAAAUGUGUAAGUAACUAUGCACGUCUUGACGGUACCUAAUCAGAGAGCCACGGCUAACUACGUG